CAGCCGCCGCGGUAAUACAGAGGGUGCAAGCGUUAAUCGGAUUUACUGGGCGUAAAGGGCGCGUAGGUGGUUAUUUAAGUGAGAUGUGAAAGCCCCGGGCUUAACCUGGGAACUGCAUCUUAUACUGGGUAACUGGAGUGCAGUAGAGGGUAGUGGAAUUUCCGGUGUAGCGGUGAAAUGCGUAGAUAUUGGAAGGAACACCAGUGGCGAAGGCGGCUACCUGGACUGAGACUGACACUGAGGCGCGAGAGCGUGGGGAGCAAACAGGAUUAGAGACCCCUGUAGUCCCUGUCUCUUAUAC
rnacentral:rRNA from 1 species